rnacentral:rRNA from 1 species
AGGGUAGCCAAGUCCGGAAGGGAUAAACGCUGAAGGCAUCUAAGCGUGAAGCCCCCCUCAAGAUGAGAUAUCCCAUCCGAAAGGAGUAAGACCCCUUGAAGACGACGAGGUAGAUAGGGCAGAGGUGGAAGCGCAGCAAUGCGUGGAGCUGACUGCUACUAAUCGGUCGAGGGCUUGACCAA